ensembl:lncRNA
CUGCGUAACCAUGGUUACAGCGGGACGCUUUGGAGCCCUGCUGCUCAGCAGCUAAUGCUCAGUUAAUAUAUAAAUAUUCCAGCUCUAAAACCAAGUAAAAUAAAUAUACUGUAUAUGUGUAUAGUGUGCCGCGUAAGCGUUCAAUUUCUAAAAGAGGCUGUAAGACGGACAGAGUUAAAAGGUGACCGAUAGCAGCCAUACUGAGAACUGGAGGCGAGAGCAGAGAACAAGAGUGCAGCAGUUUGGUGAAAGGAACAGGAAAGGUGAAGAAGAGGUGAGCAUCCAAAAGACGAGCAAGAGGACAGUUUCAAAGGAGACAUCACAGCACAAUAAAAGCUGCCUCCUCCUGUUUCACUGCCAUAUAUCCAUCACCAGAGGGCUCCACUGACCUGCCUGCUGACAUCAGAGCACACCCCUGUGUCAUGUGACCUGGCAAAGCUGGACUCAGACCUGG